AUUGAACGCUGGCGGUAUGCUUUACACAUGCAAGUCGAACGGUAGAGGGGCAACCCUUGAGAGUGGCGAACGGGUGAGUAAUGCAUCGGAACGUGCCCAGUCGUGGGGGAUAACGUAGCGAAAGCUACGCUAAUACCGCAUACGACCUGAGGGUGAAAGCGGGGGACUCGCAAGGGCCUCGCGCGAUUGGAGCGGCCGAUGGCAGAUUAGGUAGUUGGUGAGGUAAAGGCUCACCAAGCCGACGAUCUGUAGCUGGUCUGAGAGGACGACCAGCCACACUGGGACUGAGACACGGCCCAGACUCCUACGGGAGGCAGCAGUGGGGAAUUUUGGACAAUGGGCGCAAGCCUGAUCCAGCCAUACCGCGUGCAGGAAGAAGGCCUUCGGGUUGUAAACUGCUUUUGUCAGGGAAGAAAUCUUCUGGGCUAAUACCCUGGGAGGAUGACGGUACCUGAAGAAUAAGCACCGGCUAACUACGUGCCAGCCGCCGCAGUAAAAC
rnacentral:rRNA from 1 species